rnacentral:rRNA from 1 species
GCCCGCCGGGGGCGGGGGGGGGGGCGGGGGCACGGGGGGCCUACGGGAGGCAGCAGUGAGGAAUAUUGGACAAUGGGCGAAAGCCUGAUCCAGCCAUGCCGCGUGUGUGAUGAAGGCCUUAGGGUUGUAAAGCACUUUCGACGGGGAUGAUAAUGACCGUACCCGAGAGAGGUAACUCU